rnacentral:rRNA from 1 species
AGAGUUUGAUCCUGGCUCAGAUUGAACGCUGGCGGCAUGCCUUACACAUGCAAGUCGAACGGCAGCACGGGAGCAAUCCUGGUGGCGAGUGGCGAACGGGUGAGUAAUACAUCGGAACGUGCCCUGUCGUGGGGGAUAACUAGUCGAAAGAUUAGCUAAUACCGCAUACGACCUGAGGGUGAAAGCGGGGGACCGUAAGGCCUCGCGCGAUAGGAGCGGCCGAUGUCUGAUUAGCUAGUUGGUGGGGUAAAGGCCCACCAAGGCGACGAUCAGUAGCUGGUCUGAGAGGACGAUCAGCCACACUGGGACUGAGACACGGCCCAGACUCCUACGGGAGGCAGCAGUGGGGAAUUUUGGACAAUGGGGGCAACCCUGAUCCAGCAAUGCCGCGUGUGUGAAGAAGGCCUUCGGGUUGUAAAGCACUUUUGGUCCGGAAAGAAAUCCCUUGCUCUAUUCAC